AGCAGCCGCGGUAAUUCCAGCUCCAAUAGCGUAUAUUAAAGUUGUUGCAGUUAAAAAGCUCGUAGUUGAAUUUCGGGAUCAAUACGCCUGUCGUGCCUUCGGUACGUACGGGUGUAAUUGGUUUCUACCUUCUGAGGAUCCUUGAUGUCAUUAAUUUGGUGUCUUGGGGAAUCAGGACUAUUACCUUGAAAAAAUUAGAGUGUUUAAAGCAGGCAUACGCUUGAAUACAUUAGCAUGGAAUAAUGAAAUAGGACGUUCGAUUCUAUUUUGUUGGUUUCUAGGAUCGACGUAAUGAUUAAUAGGGAUAGUUGGGGGCAUUAGUAUUCAAUUGUCAGAGGUGAAAUUCUUGGAUUUAUUGAAGACUAACUACUGCGAAAGCAUUUGCCAAGGAUGUUUUCAUUAAUCAAGAACGAAAGUUAGGGGAUCGAAGACGAUCAGAUACCGUCGUAG
rnacentral:rRNA from 1 species